GAUGAACGCUGGCGGCGUGCCUAAUACAUGCAAGUCGAGCGAACAGACGAGGAGCUUGCUCCUCUGACGUUAGCGGCGGACGGGUGAGUAACACGUGGAUAACCUACCUAUAAGACUGGGAUAACUUCGGGAAACCGGAGCUAAUACCGGAUAAUAUAUUGAACCGCAUGGUUCAAUAGUGAAAGACGGUUUUGCUGUCACUUAUAGAUGGAUCCGCGCCGCAUUAGCUAGUUGGUAAGGUAACAGCUUACCAAGGCGACGAUGCGUAGCCGACCUGAGAGGGUGAUCAGCCACACUGGAACUGAGACACGGUCCAGACUCCUACGGGAGGCAGCAGUAGGGAAUCUUCCGCAAUGGGCGAAAGCCUGACGGAGCAACGCCGCGUGAGUGAUGAAGGUCUUCGGAUCGUAAAACUCUGUUAUUGGGGAAGAACAAAUGUGUAAGUAACUAUGCACGUCUUGACGGUACCUAAUCAGAAAGCCACGGCUAACUACGUG
rnacentral:rRNA from 1 species